AUGGGUUUCUCCCACGACACGGGAUUAUGGGAACUACAAUUCAAGAUGAGAUUUGGGUGGGGACACAGCCAAAUCACAUUACAUAAUAUCCUCCAGGUUCAUCCCUUGUGUUUUCUUCCACUAGUUUUAUUGUUUCAGGUCUUACACUUAAGUCUUUAAUCCAUUUUGAUUUGAUUUUUAUAUAUGGUAAAAGAUAGGGAUCUAGCUUUAUUCUUCUGCAUGUGGAUAUCCAGUUUCCAGCACUAUGUAUUGAUGAGACUGUCUUUUCUCCAUUGUGUGUUCUUGGAACCUUUGUCGAAAAUCAGUUGGCUCUAAGUAUGUGAAUUUAUUUUUGUGUUCUCCGUUCUGUCCCAUUGGUCUGUGUGUCUGGUUUUUUGUCAGUAUCAUGUUGUUUUAGUUACUACAGCUUUGUAGUAUAUUUUGAAGUCAGGUAG
rnacentral:lncRNA from 10 species